GUUUACACUCUUGAUAUUUAGUUAUUUAUGUAUUUAAUUUUUGAGACUCAGCAGUCUGGUUGUGGUAAGGUGGACCAUUGGUAGACACUAAUGCAUGCUCUAGUAUUUACAUGGUGGAAAUGACAGAGAGAAGCGGGAAGGAAUUCUCAUUAGAUUGCUUUACUAGAUUAGAGCUCAUAAACCUGCUGGUAAUACCCAGGCAUCCUGGAUAUGAAGGGUGAAGAUGAGGAAGAUUAAGUCACACGAAAGCCAAGUUAUUACAGGCCCUUGGUUUUAUGAAAACCAUAAAACUUCCCAUGCAAUUUCUGAAGGGUGAGGCCUGCUGCUAUGCUGUGAUGACACUGAUACAAUAAUGGAGAAGCUCAUGAAGAGAGGUCUCCAGUCAACAAGGAAUUGGGGUUGCUAACAACUAUGUGAUUGAGCUCAAGCCUUUAGAAGACUGCAGCCCUUAACACCUUGUGAAGGACCCUGGGCCACUCUCACCCAGAUAAGCUGCUCCGAGACUCCUAGACCUCAGAAAUUGUGUUACACAGAAAGUGAUUUUUUGUCUUAAGCUGCUAAAUUUGAGAGUAACUUGUUAUGCAGCAAUAAAUAGGUAAUACAGGGCUUAAGGAAAAUUAAGGGAAAGUUGGGAUAUGGAGGCCAAGAACAUUAAAGCCCAUUAAGGAGUUUUUGCAUUUUAUUCUCCCACAAAA